rnacentral:tRNA from 1 species
GGGAAUGUGGCUUAGUGGUAGAGUACUUGCCUAGCAUGCAUGAAGCCCUGGGUUCAAUUCCUCAAUACUA